UAAACUUUAAGUUAUAAAAACUAAGUGCCUUCAAAGCACUAAAAGAGAGUCACUCAAGUUUAU
rnacentral:tRNA from 1 species